UGAGCUGUUUGUCUCUUAGAUAUUGCACGUGCUCUGGGUUGCACAUCUGGUGGGUUGGUGUGAGAGCCUACAUCUAUCCAAGAACACUGCUCACACAAGAUGCCAAUUUGUAUAGUUGCAGUAGAGAAAACCUGUUACAACUCCAGAAAUAUCAAAUUCACCUGCUUCUUUCCUCUUGGUAAAAGGUUCUUGCGACAGGAGAGAGACCGUUGAGUAUAGAAAGGACAGUAGCAAAGGCCACCAGGAGCAGCCUCGCCUCCAUCAAUUAGGGGACACGGUG
rnacentral:misc_RNA from 1 species